GACGAACGCUGGCGGCGUGCCUAAUACAUGCAAGUCGAGCGGACGAAUCGAAAGCUUGCUUUUGAUUCGUUAGCGGCGGACGGGUGAGUAACACGUGGGCAACCUGCCCUGUAGACGGGGAUAACACCGAGAAAUCGGUGCCAAUACCGGAUAACACGAAAUGUCGCAUGACGUUUCGUUGAAAGACGGCGCAAGCUGUCGCUACAGGAUGGGCCCGCGGCGCAUUAGCUAGUUGGUGAGGUAACGGCUCACCAAGGCGACGAUGCGUAGCCGACCUGAGAGGGUGAUCGGCCACACUGGGACUGAGACACGGCCCAGACUCCUACGGGAGGCAGCAGUAGGGAAUCUUCCGCAAUGGACGAAAGUCUGACGGAGCAACGCCGCGUGAGCGAAGAAGGCCUUCGGGUCGUAAAGCUCUGUUGUUAGGGAAGAACAAGUAACGCAGUAACUGGCGUUACCGUGACGGUACCUAACGAGAAAGCCACGGCUAACUACGUG
rnacentral:rRNA from 1 species